UACGGGGGGGGCAAGCGUUGUUCGGAAUUACUGGGCGUAAAGGGCUCGUAGGCGGCCAACUAAGUCAGACGUGAAAUCCCUCGGCUUAACCUGGGAACUGCGUCUUAUACUGGAUAACUGGAGUGCAAUAGAGGGUAGUGGAAUUUCCGGUGUAGCGGUGAAAUGCGUAGAUAUCGGGAGGAACACCAAUGGCGAAGGCAGCUCGCUGGGACGGUACUGACGCUGAGGCGCGAAAGCGUGGGGAGCAAACAGG
rnacentral:rRNA from 1 species